GGGUCUGGCUUUGGAUGCUGGUUCGGUACUUGACUUCUACAACCUGCGCACGGAAACAACCGUACGCUGAGUAUGCAUAUACUCAGUGGUAUCACUAUAAUUCAAUUAUCACUACUAAUAAACAAUUCAACCUUUUUAUAUUAUCAAUUAAUUAAAUAUAUAAUUAUCAUUCUUAUUUCUUUAUUUCAAAUUUCACUCUUCACAUAUACUAUGUUACUAAAUUUAAUUUUAUCAGUCAAUUUAUUUCAUUUGCCCCUAUUAACUCGACUCGGCCUCGGCGGAUACACGGAUUCCAACCAACACACCAGUAUACAGUAAUCAGUAACAGUAACAGUAUUCAACACACAAAGUGGUGAACCUGUAACAGUAACAGUAACAGUAUUCGACACACAAAGUGCCGAGUCGGUAACAGUAACAGUAACAGUAUUCGACACACAAAGUGCCGAAUCAGUAACAGUAACAGUAGUCGGCACAUAAGUGCCUGAUCAGUAAGCCGGCAAAUACCCCAUACACUUCCAUAUCCUAUGGCAUGCCAACUAUAUCCGACUAGCCCGACUAGUUAAUAGGGUAUUUAAUUCACUUUUCAGUAUAAAUUUCCAUCUUAAUUCAGUAUCAAUUAUAAUUCUUUAAUUCAAUCGGUUUCACAGUAUUACAGUAAUUCUUUACUUCAGUAAUUUCACAAUUCAAUGCAUUAUGCAUAACAAUAUUCAGUAUUUUCACAAUUCACUCAGUAAUCAAGACAAUAUUCAGUAUUCCAUAAUUCGGUUCAGUAUCAGUUUCAAUUUCAUUACUACAUUAUAAAUUUAUUAUUUAUUAAACAUUUACCUUAAAAUACUUACCACACAUAAUUAGCAAAUUAAACACUUAAUAAUAAUAAAGUUUGAAUUAUAGUGAUACAAACCGUAAUUCCCGUGUCUAUUCCUCGUCCACUUUUUCUUUUCCUUUCCUCGUGGAUGCCUCGGGUGCGAUAUUAGCUACGAAAAGAAAUUAAGAUAAUUUUCAUAAUCAUUAGCACAACACAAUUUACUUGCUGAAAUUUUUAUCUAACUUUUAUUUUAAUUUCAAUUUAAUCCUAACUAAAUCUAUAUAUUUUUCUUUCUCAAUUCAUACCUUCUUGCUACUCAAUUUCUUGCCAAACUUAUAUGUAACUAUCUAAUUUUUAUCAUAUUUUCAUAAUUUCGAAUUUAUUUCAAUUUAAUCCCUAAAAUAUAAAACUUAUAGUUUCUUUUACAAUUUAAUCCCUUUUUCAAUUCUAACUUAAAAUUCAUGCUAUUUAAUCCCUAAUUCAUCUCUUUUGUUCAACAUAAACUAUACUUGAAAACCUAUGAACUUACAAAACAUCAACUUAAUCCCAUCAAAACUUUGUUUUAAAGCUUUUAAAACAUUAGAAUUAAGAGAAAAUGGCUAAUUUGACUUACCAAAUUAAAUUUCAAGCUUCAAAAACCCUAUUUUCUUCUUUUUCUUCUUUCUCCCCUGUUUCUCCCCUGUUUCGUCUCUUCUAUUCUGUUUCUUUCCUUUCUUUUGCUUUGUUUUUAUUUCAUUUUAUUUAAUUUACUUUAUAUUAUAUUAAUUAAUUAUAAAUAUUACAAAUGUAUGUAUUUUAUUAGUACACUUGCAUUAAAUCAUUACCAUACACUUGUUUCAAUCUAACUAACUUAUCAAAUAAAAAUCUCAUAAUAUUAUUAUUUAAUUAACAAUUAUCUUUUACUAAAUUUUCAAGUAAAUAAAUAAAUAUAAUACACUUGUAUUUUAUUUUUACCACACACUUGGCAAAAUCAUAAUUUAUUAUUACCCAAAAAAUCUUAUACUAAUUAUUUAAUUACUAAAUAUCUUUUAAUUUAAUAAUAACUAAUAACUAAUAAUAAAUAAUAAAUAUCAUUAAUUAUAUAAUAAACAAAUAAAUUCUUAAAUUUUAUUCCUUUAUGCCGCCUCAAUCAUUUUAAAUGGCUUAAUUGCUAUUUUAGCCCUUUUUACUUUCUUUUAAUCUAUGAUUAGAUUUUCACUUCUAUUGUAAUUUAAUCCCUUUUGCUAAUUACUCUUAAUUGAGCCAAAUUCACCUAUUUAAAACCUAAUUAAACACACAACUAAUCUCGUAAGUAUUUCUAAUAAUUAUUUAUGACUCAGUUUACUAAGACGGAGGCCCGAUAAUACACACUUUUCUAGUGCCCACGGAUUUUGGGUCGUUACAGGUGUUUUCAAAUCAAGAUCAUUAAGGAAAAUUUAACAGAAGGAUCAAAAGUAGUUGAAACAUUGAUACGUAAAUUCUGCCACUUCUUCAUGCACACAAACCUCCACUUAAAUAAUAUAAAUAAUAUCAUCGUUCAUCUUAUAUUAAAGUAGUUGGCAUGUAUUGUACAUAUAUAUUUUUAAAAAAUGUUAUCCGUAUUGUUACCAAUGCAGGAGGAUGUGAGUUUGAGUGUGCUGAAACGCAUUAUCCUACUAUUAAUAGGUUAGGGGCGUAGUUCUAGACAUUAUAUAUCAGAAAGAACAGAUAUAAUUAGAACAUAUGAUAAGAUUGAUAAAAAAAUAUUUCACUUAUUUCAUUAAUUACCCAUAACAUAUUUAUAGUUAAAAUUGUUUAUAAAUCAUAAAAAAAGACUUACAAACUGUCGAGAAAGGAUGAUUUUCUCCUGGAAUAGCAAAAGGAAAAUGGAAUUUUAAUUUUUCGAGUGUAAUUAGAAAAUACUGAGGAUAUCUUUUUUGUUCUAUUGUCCAUUUUUUUUAUCAAUUAUAUUUUGUUACUUGUUUCAUUUAUUUAUGGAAUAUAUUUGGAAUUUAAUUAAAUUAUUGUCUAAUUACUUUAUUUGUAACUUUUAUUAAUAGAUACACUUUCAAGUAUGGGUUCAAUCAAAAGCCGACAAUUAUUCUGUCUUCUUCCUUUUUCUUACUUGAAACCUUUUUUUUUUUUUUUGCAUUAUUUAGCCAUCAAGUAAAAGAAAUCACAUUUUUUAGCUAAUCUUUUUUUAACUUUUUUUCGUUUUAGUUUAUCUUUAUGAAAAAAGAAGUCAGUAGAAGCGAAAAUUCGAGCUGUAAAAAGUAAAAAACACUUCCUCUUAUUUAUGGCUAAAUAAAAACACUUGAAUUCGAGUGUUAAAACGCAUUAUCCUCAUAUUUAUGUAUUAAGUAAGAACUAAGAAUUAUGAGUAAUUUUACUUCUAGACGUUAUAUAUAAAAAUAAAUAUAAUCCGAACCUAUAAUAAUAUUAUAUAAAAAAAUGUUGCACUGAUAAUAAAUUUUAACAUCCUCUCUCCCAACAACAAAAAAAAAAUUAAAUGGAAUAGUAAGUUGUGAUAAUUUAUAUUAAGUUGACUGCUCAGAUGUCACUUAGUACGUAGAAAAAUCCAAGUCUCGUGAAGAAAAUUAAGUCUUUAAGUAUGCAUAACUAAUUAAUUAAUUAAUUAAUAGAGGGUAUUUUUAUUUGUUUAGUGCAUCUAAUUUUGUCUAUAUAUACCCUUAUAAGUUAUAACUCACAUUCACAUUCACAUUCCACAAAAUUCCUCAAACAUUUUCUUACUUUCCAAUACAUCCCAGAACAAGUUUUUUAGAUCAAGAAAGUAGUGGGUUUUGCUGGGUUUCUUUCUUUCUUUUUAUUUUUAAAGAAAGAGAAAAUUAUGGGGAAUUGUAUGAUGAAGACAUUGGGAUCAAGGCCGCAUCUGGAAGAAGAAGAAGAAGAGAUUGGUGAAGCAGCUUCAACUGAUUAUAAGAAGGAAAAUGAAGGGGAGAAAAGCAGCAUAAAGGUGAAGAUAGUGCUUACAAAAGAGGAACUAGAUUUGUUAUUAGUGAAGCUGAAGAACAAGGGUAAUGGUGGGAAGAGCUUAGAGGAAAUUUUGGGCGAAAUAGAGAAAGCAAGAUCUGAGAAACUUGACUCUUCAUGGAAACCUUCGUUGGAGAGUAUCAUGGAAGACGACGAUAUCAUUAAUUCAUGAAACUUUCAAUCCCUUUUCUGUAAAUUACCCUCUCUCUCUCUCUUUUUUUUUUUUACAUUCAUAUACUAUUAUACUUGCGUAACUCGAUGGCAAAGUAUUUACCAGACUCUCCCCCACCCCCUUUUUCUUUUCUCUGGAUCUUUGGCAUUGAGCGAUGUAUAUCUGCGUUGCUUAGCCUUAUUAGGAGUUUUGUUUUUUUAUAAAAUUAAUGCAUCUUUUAUGUCAGCGUGGUUACCACUUCAAUCAUCUGAAAAAGAAAACAAGGUUUGCUUGAAGAUUGAGUGAUGUAAUUUUCUUGUUUUGGGACUCUAUAUAUAUGGAGUGUGAAAUUAAGAAUGUCGUUUUAAUUUUUCCUUGUAUGCAAAUCUAAUUGUUUUAUAACACUUAUCUUCAAUCCUGUUCUGUUUAUAGUGAUUAUAAACCUCUGUAAAACCCUUUUCUUUUUGGUUCCAAAAAAUUUAUGAACAUUGUUUAAAAAGGAUCAGAUCACUGUUUGUGAUCCCCUUAGAAAAAAUGGCGACUUCUUUCAAGUACUACUCAUCGUCGGAAACAAAAAAGAGAGGGAAGGAAUUAACAUAAUUAUAUUUACACAAUAUAAUCAUGAGCGGAAGAUGCAACAGAUGCUAUUGUCUAGAGCUGUGCUCCAUAAAAUGAAAGUGCAAGGAGUCGGUCUAAUCCAUCCAACUGCCGGUUCAUUUUUAUUUUAUUUUAUUUUGGAAUACAAGGAAAUUAGAAAAAAAAAUUGUAUUUAAAAAAAUUAUAAACAUAUUUAAAUAACAAUAAGGGAAAAUAUUUGGUGUAAAAUUUGUAAAUUCCACAGGGUGAGCGAUUUAACGAAUAUCUCAUAGGGAUAUUGUAAAAUAUUUAAAAAAAUAACACAUUACAAUUUUUUUAAAGUCACUUGUGGAAUAAAAAAAAACACUACCAGUAUACCAAAUACUUAACCAAACAAUAAUAACAUAAAUAUCAAUUUUAUAUUACUGAUUCAAUUAAAAGUUUAAAACAUCAAAUAUGAUCAAAACCUAUAAUGAAAUUGUUAAAAAAAAUUAAAAGAUCAACAAAAUUACUUAUAUCAAUUUAGACAUUGAAAGCGGAUUGAGUCUUAAUUCAGUUGGCAUCAAUAUUGUUGCCGAUGCAAGAGAACGUGGGUUCGAGUGUGUUGAAGUAUAUUAUUCUCUUAUUUAAGAGUUGGGAAGAGUUACGGGUAGUUCUAAGUAUUGUGUCAAUAGAACAAAAGUUAAUAAUCGUGAUACUACACUUAUAUAAAAGAAAAUAAAUAAUAAAAAAUUGUAAAUUCAAAAAUUUUCAGGGGAUUUGGGCCAAUUAAUUAUUGAAUUUAAGGUUGUUUUUUUUUAUAAAAAAAAUUGGGCCAAAUGAAAAAGCAUAAAAAAUUAGUUCUAUCAAAUUGGGCCAAUCCAAUCUUAAUUGAAAAUCCAUAUCGAAAAAAAGUCGAGUCUAAACACUAAAUUUGAUAUUAAAGUUGUUCGCGGCAUCCCCAAGUUAAUAGGAACUAAAUUUAAUUAGCAGAUGGAAUUAAUUUCAUGUACCAUCUUUAAUUUCUAACAUUUGGCGGUGUCUUAACCUUAUAAUUAUGGAUUCCUAAAUCAAUAAAAAGUAACGAUGAAUAGUUGCUAUUAAUUCCUAAAUCGAGAAGUUGAAUAGUUGAGAACGAAUAGAAAAUAUUCUUUUUGAAAGUGUCACGUAUCUAAUCGAGUGGGAACAUAAUAACUAUCUUUCAAAGGACAAUUAUCUAACCCAAAAAUACAGUCUUGCGGGAGGACAACUGUUAUGCCUCACUUAAACUAGACAUGUGACACUACCAAAAGGUGGUAAGAUACAUACGAUUAUUUUAAUAAUUGGGCAACCUAUGAUCAUUUUGUUCAACGGUGCGUUUGUUUUACUUCCACGAAGACGCUGUCGUUUAGUAUAAAGUAGAAAAUCAAUUUUAAUAUUUUCGCUCUCUUUUUCCUUCCUGAAACAUCGCCGCCUACUUUUCUACAAAACGAGAAAUCUCUGAAACCGGAGAAUCAUUCUUAAUUGAAAAAUCACCGUCAAACUUCUUUGAGAAAAUUGCCAUUGCACAAAAAAGGAAAAAGAAAAAUGGGCGUAGCGCAAGCGAUGAAGAGAAUCCCUCGCAUCAAGUUUCCCCAAAGACACCCCAAACCUUCUGGUAUUCUUCUUUAUAUCCCAUUGACCCCUUCUAUAUCUCAUCUAUUGUGUUUUCUUUGCUUUCGAUUUCUUAAUGUACUGUUAAAUCUCAUUCUGCCUUCUCUUUAAUAUGUUUUUUAUGGUUUUCUAUGUCUGCAUGUUUAACUGAAAGGGGGGUUGUUUUUUGCUGAAUCUGUAAACGCAAGUCAAAUUGUUGUAAAAACUGUUUGCGAUUGCAAUUAAUGGAUGUUGGUGAAAAAUGUGAAAUCAAAUCGAUAUUUGCAGAUUCUGGGUUGCAGGCUCAGGGUGCAAGCAAAACUGGCGAUGGUGAUCUAACUUUCUUCUCUAGUUCUAAGGCUCCUGCAACCGUGGGAGGUAAAGCUUCUCUUCAACCCAAAAGAACGCCUGUUUCCAAUGAGGAAAUUGAGGCUAUUUUGGUAUGUAACCCGUUCUCUUUCAUGAUGUUGUCAGGAUUUAAAUCUUUUUUUUUUUAUUUUUUUUUGCAUUGGACAUUUAUGUUGACCUAUGUUACCUGGAGUUGUUUCAUACUUGUAACAUCAUAUCGCUAACCUAGAUCUUAAAUCCGUGUUGAGCCCAUGUUGGACAUUAAGGAAAAUGAAAGUUUUGGGUAGAUGUUGACUGCAUUAUAUGUCUUAGGAUCACUAGCCUUGCUUAUAAGAGAUCAGUUGGACAGAGAAUUUGGUGCUUAAGUCAACUUCAUCCUAUGAAACCGUGGUGCAUUAAAAUGCAUCAAAUGCUUAUGAUCUAAGUUUUGUGAUCUCUACGGGAGAAGAAAUUUAUCUUGUAAUAUCAUAUUUGAGCAAUAAGAACGGUUGCCAGUUUAUGUUGACCUAUGUUACCUGGAGUUGUUUCAUAUCUUUGGAACAUCAUACCACGUACCUAGACCUUAACCUGUGCAGAAUACAUGUUUGACAUGAAUACUUCAGGGAAAAUGAAAAUUUUGGGUAGAUGUUGACUGCAUUAUACAUCUUGGGAUCGCUAACUUUACUAGCCAUAGUGCAUUAAAAUGCAGCAAAUGUGUAUGAACUAAGUGUUGUCAUUGGGAGAAGAAUUUUAUCUUGUACUGACAUAUUUGAGCAAUAAGAAGGGUUGCCAGUUGGGUUUAUUUAUGGAAAAACGUACUAUAACAGUCUGUGGUUCUCAAAAAGAAAAUCACUAACAAAUUUCGAUGAUUCUCAAAAGAAAUCACGGACAAAUUUCAGCCACUAACUUCUAGGAAAUAACUUCUUAAAUAACUGGUUAAAUAACUAAAGGGUGAAUAUUGGGAGGAAUAUGGGGUCAAUAGUGUUUGUGAUCUGUUAGGAACCUCACGGAUUGUGAAGAAAGUUAAAUCCUUUGGUUAUGUGCAUGAAUUAGUAUUGUAUGUUUCCCUCUUUAUUUUGAUAUGUACAUGCUUAUGAACUAUUGGUUUUUGAUGUGGCCCUCUUUGUUCUUUUAUUCUUUUGUGUGAAAGGGAUUCAGUCUUGCUCAGUGCUUAAAAUUAACUUAUUGAGCAUGUAUUGAAGGAAUGGUUUUUCUCCCAUGUCCUCUGUUUUAGCUUGCUAGACAUCUAUUAAUCCUUUUUUGACCCUCUUGGCAGUUGGGUGGAUGUUUCUGAUCAUCUGAUGGAGUUUCAACAGGGAAGAUGAUUUCAUGGACUUCUAAAUGUUGUCAUUCUUUUUUCUUAUCACAAUAUUGGAGCUUCGAUUUUCAAAUGACAUUGGUGUGCUGUAAAACUAACAGACAAGGGGACAAACACCAUUUUUAAUGAAUAAACACAGAAAAUCAAAUGAAUUAUGGCUUUCUUUUUUCUUCUCAUUCAUGUUUUGUAUAUUUUAAGUUCUUAAUUAAUUUUGGUUUGUGAUGUUUGAAGUUUCUCUGCCUCUGAUUGAUUCCUAACUAAGCUUAAAGAGUCAAAACUGCACAUAAUUCUUACCUUCCAUACAUGAGAGUUGAGGCAGAUAUCUCUUUGGAUCCUUGUCUAUCAUAGCUUAAAGAACAGCGGAUUUAGGAUUCUUCAUCGCAAGGUCCAAAAUUGUUGAGGCAAAUUGUUAAUUUUUCCAUCAGUGAUCCGC
rnacentral:lncRNA from 1 species